rnacentral:sRNA from 1 species
AAUGAUACAUUAAAAUAAACGGAUGUAGAAACUUUGAGAAAAAUCAAGUGUUUUUAUCUCAACUGGUAAAAAUUCUAAGCAAAAUUUAGAAGUCGCCGGUUCAAACUAAGUUUAGGAUGAAACUAAUAAAGAAAAGAAAGGAAAAAACGUUUGAGAAACUAUAUAUAUAAAUAUAUAUAUAUAUAUAUAUAUAUAUAUUA